ACGCCGCGUGAAGGAAGAAGUAUCUCGGUAUGUAAACUUCUAUCAGCAGGGAAGAUAAUGACGGNACCUGACUAAGAAGCCCCGGCUAACUACGUGCCAGCAGCCNCGGUAAUACGUAGGGGGCAAGCGUUAUCCGGAUUUACUGGGUGUAAAGGGAGCGUAGGCGNCGGAGCAAGUCAGAAGUGAAAGCCCGGGGCUCAACCCCGGGACGGCUUUUGNAACUGCCCUGCUUGAUUUCAGGAGAGGUAAGCGGAAUUCCUAGUGUAGCGGUGAAAUGCGUAGAUAUUAGGAGGAACACCAGUGGCGAAGGCGGCUUACUGGACUGNCAAUGACGCUGAGGCUCGAAAGCGUGGGGAGCAAACAGGAUUAGAUACCCUGGUAGUCCACGCCGUAANCGAUGAANACUAGGUGUCGGGGCUCAUA
rnacentral:rRNA from 1 species